UACGUAGGGGCAAGCGUUGUCCGGAUUUAUUGGGCGUAAAGAGCGUGUAGGCGGCCAUGCAGGUCCGUUGUGAAAACUCGAGGCUCAACCUCGAGACGUCGAUGGAAACCGCACGGCUAGAGUCCGGAAGAGGAGAGUGGAAUUCCUGGAUGUGAGCGGUGAAAUGCGCAGAUAUCAGGAAGAACACCCGUGGCGAAGGCGGCUCUCUGGGACGGUACUGACGCUGAGACGCGAAAGCGUGGGGAACGCAACAGG
rnacentral:rRNA from 1 species